UACGUAGGGUGCAAGCGUUGCCCGGAAUUAUUGGGCGUAAAGCGCACGUAGGCGGCUUGGCAAGUCGGAUGUGAAAUCCCUCGGCUCAACCAAGGAAGUGCAUCCGAAACUGCUGAGCUUGAGUACGGAAGAGGAUCGCGGAAUUCCCGGUGUAGAGGUGAAAUUCGUAGAUAUCGGGAGGAACACCAGUGGCGAAGGCGGCGCUCUGGGUCGAUACUGACGCUGAGGUGCGAAAGCGUGGGGAGCAAACAGG
rnacentral:rRNA from 1 species